CCUCCUUUCGGCAGCAGUGAGGAAUAUUGGUCAAUGGACGAGAGUCUGAACCAGCCAAGUAGCGUGAAGGAUGACUGCCCUCUGGGUUGUAAACUUCUUUUAUAAAGGACUAAAACGAGGUACGUGUGCCUUUUUGCAUUUACUUUAUGAAUAUGGAUCUGCUAACUCCGUGCCAUCAGCCGCGGUAAUACGGAGGAUCCGAGCGUUAUCCGGAUUUAUUGGGUUUAAAGGGAGCGUAAGUGGGUUGUUAAGUCAGUUGUGAAAGUUUGCGGCUCAACCGUAAAAUUGCAAUGGAUACUAGAAGUCUUGAGUAUAGUUGAGGUAGGCGGAAUUCGUGGUGUAGCGGUGAAAUGCUUAGAUAUCACGAAGAAACCCGAUUGCGAAGGCAGCUUACUAAUCUGUGACUGACAUUGAUGCUCGAAAGUGUGGGUAUCAAACAGGAUUAGAUACCCGGGUAGUC
rnacentral:rRNA from 1 species